rnacentral:rRNA from 1 species
AAAGGCGUAAUGAAAGUGAAGGUUCGCCUAGCGCGAACCGAGGGAGGAUGGACGGUCGUCAGUGGCCGUCCCGCACUCCCUGGGCGUCUCGUUCUCAUCGCGAGAAGAGGCGCACCAAGAGCGUACACGCUGGGACCCGAAAGAUGGUGAACUAUGCCUGGUCAGGACGAAGUCAGGGGAAACCCUGAUGGAGGUCCGUAGCGAUUCUGACGUGCAAAUCGAUCGUCGGAACUGGGUAUAGGGGCGAAAGACUAAUCGAACCAUCUAGUAGCUGGUUCCCUCCGAAGUUUCCCUCAGGAUAGCUGGCGCUCGCUUCUCGCGAGUCUCAUUCGGUAAAGCGAAUGAUUAGAGGCAUUGGGGUCGAAACGGCCUCAACCUAUUCUCAAACUUUAAAUGGGUGAGAUCUCCGGCUUGCUUGAACUGUGAAGCCGCGAGAUAUCGGAUCAGAGUGCCAAGUGGGCCACUUUUGGUAAGCAGAACUGGCGCUGUGGGAUGAACCAAACGCCGAGUUAAAGCGCCUAAAUCGACGCUUAUGGGA